rnacentral:rRNA from 1 species
AGAGUUUGAUCCUGGCUCAGGAUUAACGCUGGCGGCAUGCCUAAUACAUGCAAGUCGAACGAGAGUAGCAAUACUCUAGUGGCGAACGGGUGAGUAACACGUAGGAAACCUGCCUCAAAGUCGAGGAUAACUACUGGAAACGGUAGCUAAAACUGGAUAGGAUAUAUUAAGGCAUCUUGAUAUAUUUAAAAGUCCUUCUGGGAAUGCUUUGAGAUGGUCCUGCGGCGCAUUAGCUAGUUGGUGAGGUAGUAGCUUACCAAGGCGACGAUGCGUAGCUGAGCUGAGAGGCCAAACAGCCACACUGGGACUGAGACACGGCCCAGACUCCUACGGGAGGCAGCAGUAGGGAAUUUUCGGCAAUGGGGGAAACCCUGACCGAGCAAUGCCGCGUGAAUGAUGAAAUUCUUCGGAAUGUAAAAUUCUGUUGUGAGGGAAGAAAGGUAGUAUCAGGAAAUGGGUAUUACUUGACGGUACCUUACUAGAAAGCCCCGGCUAACUAUGUGCCAGCAGCCGCGGUAAUACGUAGGGGGCGAGCGUUAUCCGGAAUUAUUGGGCGUAAAGCGUGCGUAGGUGGCCGUUUAAGUCUGUCGUGAAAGCCCACAGCUUAACUGUGGAGGGUCGAUGGAAACUGGAUGGCUUGAAUCUAGAAGAGGUAAGUGGAAUUCCAUGUGUAGCGGUAAAAUGCUUAGAUAUAUGGAGGAACACCAGUGGCGAAGGCGGCUUACUGGUCUAGCAUUGACGCUGAGGCACGAAAGCGUAGGUAGCAAACAGGAUUAGAUACCCUGGUAGUCUACGCUGUAAACGAUGAGCACUAAGUGUCGGACGUAAGUUCGGUGCUGUAGUUAACGCAUUAAGUGCUCCGCCUGGGGAGUACGGUCGCAAGACUGAAACUCAAAGGAAUUGACGGGGACUCGCACAAGCGGUGGAGCAUGUGGUUUAAUUCGACGCAACGCGA